rnacentral:rRNA from 1 species
GAUGAACGCUGGCGGCGUGCCUAAUACAUGCAAGUCGAGCGAACAGACGAGGAGCUUGCUCCUUUGACGUUAGCGGCGGACGGGUGAGUAACACGUGGGUAACCUACCUAUAAGACUGGGAUAACUUCGGGAAACCGGAGCUAAUACCGGAUGAUAUUUCGAACCGCAUGGUUCGAUAGUGAAAGAUGGCCUUGCUAUCACUUAUAGAUGGACCUGCGCCGCAUUAGCUAGUUGGUAAGGUAACGGCUUACCAAGGCAACGAUGCGUAGCCGACCUGAGAGGGUGAUCGGCCACACUGGAACUGAGACACGGUCCAGACUCCUACGGGAGGCAGCAGUAGGGAAUCUUCCGCAAUGGGCGAAAGCCUGACGGAGCAACGCCGCGUGAGUGAUGAAGGUCUUCGGAUCGUAAAACUCUGUUAUUAGGGAAGAACAAACGUGUAAGUAACUGUGCACGUCUUGACGGUACCUAAUCAGAAAGCCACGGCUAACUACGUG